rnacentral:rRNA from 1 species
GAUGAACGCUAGCGAUAGGCUUAACACAUGCCAGUCGAGGGGCAGCACAAGGUAGCUUGCUAUCUGGGUGGCGACCGGCGCACGGGUGCGUAACGCGUAUGCAACUUGCCCUAUACAGGAGGAUAACCCGUCGAAAGACGGACUAAUACUGCGUAUGCUCACAACUUGGCAUCAAGUGGUGAGGAAAGAAAUUCGGUAUAGGAUAGGCAUGCGUCCCAUUAGCUUGUUGGUGAGGUAACGGCUCACCAAGGCAACGAUGGGUAGGGGAACUGAGAGGUUUAUCCCCCACACUGGUACUGAGACACGGACCAGACUCCUACGGGAGGCAGCAGUGAGGAAUAUUGGUCAAUGGGCGCGAGCCUGAACCAGCCAAGUCGCGUGAAGGAUGACUGUCCUAUGGAUUGUAAACUUCUUUUAUACGGGAAUAACAAGAGUCACGUGUGACUCCCUGCAUGUACCGUAUGAAUAAGCAUCGGCUAACUCCGUG